GUGGCAGAAACAAAUCCAACUAGUAUCUAUGAGGAUGCACGUUCAAUCCCUCGCUUUGCUCAGUGAGUCAGGGAUCCAGCAUCACCAUGAGCUGUGGUGUAGGUCACAGAUAUGGUUCAGAUCCCAAGUUGCUGUGACUUUGGUGUAGGCCAGCAGCUGGUAGCUCUGAUUCGACCCCUAGCCUGGGAACUUUCAUAUGCCAUGGGCAUGACCCUAAAAAGACAAAGAAAGAAAGAUGGAAGGAAGGAAGGAAGGAAGGAAGGAAGGAAAGAAAGAGAGAAAGAAAGAAAGAAAGAAAGAGAAAAAGAAAGAAAGAAAGAAAGAAAGUAAGAAAGAAAGAAAGAAUCUUAGAAGCAUUAUUUUAGGCUAAUAAAAAUAAAAUGUAUUAAAAUAUUUCAGUUUCUGUCUGUGUGUGAAUUUGGUGUUAUGCACAUGAAUAACGACUUCAGGUUCAUGCUCUAGAAUGAGGAAUAGCAGGCGUGAGUUGAUGGAGAGAAAAGUGCAGGGAACCUGGGCCAUUUGCUUGUUUCUGUCUUUGCAGUAAUAACAUUACUUCUAAUAGGCACCCUCAGAUUAAACAGUCAGAGUUAGCUCUGAGCAUUGAGAAUUUUUCUCAGUAAAAAUAGUGACAUUAAACCCAGUGAGGAGGAGUUGAUUGUAUGCUGAGCUGCACCAUCAUCUUCAUGAAAGAGAAAAGGCAGAAGCAGGUGGCUGGCGAUUUCCAUAGAUAACACUAAACAGGUAUGAGCCAGGCCUAGAUUUGAAGCCUCGCAAAGAAAAAGCAACUUGAGAAUCUAAAAUCCUGCUUUAUCUCUUGAACAGUUGCCCUUGAUAUACUGUUUAUUUGGUGAUUAUCAAUGUGGCCGCAAUCCCAGUUUUUAUCAAAUAUCACCAGGUAGAUUACUGGCUGAAGAUUAUUAUGGGCUGCUUAAGGGUAUGGCUGGAGAAAAAUAAAUAAAUAAAUAACUGUCUUUGUUUUUCUACAGUUUGACCAUUUUUCCCCCAGGAAUCCUCCCUGGCUUUAUUUGUAAGGCUACAUUCCAGACCCCACAGCAAACACAGGGUGUAUUUUCUCUGUAAACAGUUUUGUAAGUGGAACGUUGAAAGUGUUUGCUUUGAAAAUUCUUACUUAAGCAGUGAGACCAAAAAUUUCACUCUCUGUCAAUAGGUUUCUCCUCCUCUGUGAUUCAGAAAGAUCACUUUCCUCUCAUGACAAGUUUUUCUGUAUCUGGAAUCAUAUGAGGGGUAUUUGAAGCAAACUCAGAGAAUAGAUGAUCUGUGACCCUUGGCCUCCAAAUUUGGUCCAGCUUCUGUCCAUUUCUUUCUCUAUGAGUAAAAUUAAACCAAAGUCUAAUGCAUUUUUGCUGAAAGGUUGCUAUGCCAAACUAAAAGAAGUUUGCAGGAAUAUUCUUAUCACUCCCAAAUUGUAGAAUUGAUUAAUGAAACUGUAAUUCACAGUUGUGAUGGGGAGGUGGAUAUUAAUUAUAAAAGGGACAUUCAAAACUAAAGUAAUAAUGAGAAAUGACUCUCACUGGCUAAAAAGUGGCCAUUGAGCUCUAUGAUAGUAGACCAGUGAUCUAAUUAUGUCUAUUAUUGCUCAUCAUUGCAUCUUUCAUGUUUUGCAAUGCCAGGUACAUUUUAAGCUCUCAGUAGAUAUUUGAGUAAGUGAAUGAAAGAAGGAAUGAAUUAAUAAACAAAUUAAUGAAUAACUGUCAAUCCAAGACUACUGGGAACAAUCACAUUAUUUGUUUAUUAGUCUUACCCCACCCACAUCCAGAGCUUUUAUUUCUUGCGAAACCAAGAAAACGGAAAUAUCCAACGUAACUGUGAAGGGCAUUCCCCAUUCAUGCCAUUGACCCAUUUCAUGGCUAGUAUCUCAUUUACCUGAGUUCAUAAUGGGUCCAAGAAAGGAUAGCACUUGCCUACAGAUACUUGGAAAUAUAAGCCUCUCUCUGAAAUACAUAAAGACUUAUUGUAUUAAGUAAGUCUAAAUGCAUGUAACUUAAGUCUCCUAGUACAUUCCUUGCCCAGGGUAAAGGAAUUGUUUCACACCAAAAACAGAGUAAAAGUUCAUGCCGCUGACCAGAGGAACUCAGUAAACACAGAAAUAAAACCAAUAGUAACCUAUAGAAGGUAUAGGAUUGGGAUAUACCUAGAACACCAAGGGCACAGCUGUGGCCAUUCUGUCUUGUGUCUUGUACCCCAAAAGGGAGUAUAGGGCACAGGUGAUUAAAGGAGCAGUAAAUCAAAUCACUCUCUUCUCUUCUUAAGCAUUUGUCAACCUUCUUUAUUUUUUUUUUCUUCUUCCAUUUUUUCUUCUCCACCAUCCUCUACCCUGCUCCCACACACUGGUCUUGCAUCUUAAUUCGUUUACAUGGUUAGAGAGGCAACUGAGAACACAAUAGGUACAGUAGUCAUUUUAUUUUCCUCAAAGUAUUAUCUGUGCCUGGAAUGAAGAACUUCACAGAAGGACAUAGUGUGGACCAGUUCCACUGCUUUCCAAUCUCAUACAAAUUAUCCAGCUAUUGGGAACAAUGAGACACAAUGUCUCAGAAAUUUCCUUCAGAUGGCUUCCUGAGAAAUGAGCGACAUUUGGCAACGUAAGCCAACUACCAUCUCCAAGUAUGACUGAUAUAUACCACUUCUAAUGACUAUAAAGCAUUAAAUAAGUGCUCAUUAUUAGGGAGCUCUGGUCAAUCUUCAGAGCCAAUAAUGUAAACUGUGUACUGCUGAGUUUCGUCACAGCUUCCCUUAAGAUAAUGAGUAUCAACUGCCAAGAAGGGAUUUGACCCUCUUUCUCCUCCAAUUCAGGUGAAUCAUGAGCAACACUUUUAUAGAGUUAUGUCAAUAGAGACCUUUAUGCCCAAGCAGCGCCCUUCAGCCCUUCAUAGGCAUCAUGUUUAGGAACUGGAUUAUCUGAGAAGAGUUGGAGAUACUUGUUUGCAGUGCUUAAAUGUUAAAGGGGCAAAGGACAAAAGGAUGACCCCUGGAAACUUUGUCUAUUGGCCUGUCUCCUUGAUGCAUGUGAAAUGUCACUGAAGGUUAUCAUUCUUAGCAAAUGUUGCUGUAAAAAAAAAAUGUCAAUUUUAACUGAGAUCUGGAAAUUAUUUUGCAUUUUUUUUCUGAUAAACUUCUGCCAUUCCAUAAGUGGAUGCAAAUGUGAAUUUUUAUAAUUUGACCUAUGUCAAAAAAAAGUCAUCAAAAAUACAAAAAUAAUCAAAGAUUUUUCUCAUUAUAGUAAGUAAAUCUAUCCAGACAUUAAUUUAAUGAGCUAAUUUAUUGUUGCUCUGAAAUUCUUUACAAUGGGACAAAUAAACUACCAUUGUCAAAGUCUCUGGAUGACAAUGUCUCAUAAAAUUCUGGAAACAGCCAAAAAUGAGAUGUUUACUCACUCAGGUAGAUUUAAACACAAUGUUCUAAUGAACCAUUAAUUUGACCUAGAAGUUACCCUGGGUUAUUCAUGUUUGAUAUUUUGGAACCAGGCCCAGAUUAUGUUUCUUCUUCUAACUUGGCUAAUAAAAAUGAUUUUAAAAGUAAAGCAGAGUGAUAAGAAAAGGGACAAGGAAGACACUUUUAAAAGGACACAUUUAUAACAUAACCUCCAUUGGCUACCUAUCAGGACACAGUUGUGAACUUUGUAAAUUUUAAAGAUAUAAGCAAUCAUACUUGCAUUUCUCAUUCAAAUAUUUAAAACUAAGUCCCUGUUUGCUAAGGGUACCAGGUCACUCAGUAAAGUUUUACUGCAGUCCUUAAAGAACACGAAAUGUGUGGAGUUAUUUUUGCAAGUGAAUUUCCCAGAUUUAAGUGGACAAGGUAUAUUAACUUAAAAUUAAACAACCAAUGACUUCUUGAUGACUAGGUUUAUGGCAGGAGAAAAUAAUGAAAUCUUUAACCAGGAAAUGACAAAGCUUCAAAUUCUUCUGAGGAUAUUGCAGUAAAGUGAUUAUCCUGUAAUAUUAGAGGACAUGAACAUUCAAAGGAGGUUUAUAGGCAGAAGGAGUUUUCAGGAUUCAUAACAUUUUUUUCCCACAGAAAACCAGGUUCUUGGUCUAUUUCCCAAGUGUAAAGAGAAAGAUAAACUGAUUUUUUGUAGAACACAGACUUCUUAUCAGUUGAUUUGGUUUGAUAACUAUUCCCCAAUAUACACCUAGAAUAUACUGUUCAUAAAACCAGUUCCAGUCAACUUUUUUCAACUAUGUCUCAUGUGAAUUGUUUAAAUAACAAUAGUUACCCGCACACAUACAAAUAUAACACACACACACACACACACACACACACACACACGCUAACAUAAACUCUCUGGGUUUAGAUUAACCUGGUAGAGAAUAUUAGAACAAAAGUAGUAGAUGAACAAAAUUAGGACAGUUUUAUGCUCUGUUCUCUUAUGUAUAUCUUCACUUACUGAAGUACUGAAAAGAGAAGAUGUACCAGUUAAGACAUUUUGAGCUCCAAGUAAGAGAAAAUCCAACAAAAAUGAUUCUUUAACAAUAAGGAUGAAUAUCAUCUCAUAGAAAAUAGAGGGAUAGGACUAGGAUUGGUUAAUUUGGUGGUUCUGUAUUUAUAAAAAAAAUCUGAUUUUUUUUCAUCUUUCCACAUCUCAGCACAACUGUAAAAAGAAAAUCACUAGUGGAGCUCAGAGAGGUUAAAACACAUACACAAAGUCGCUCAGUAAGUGGCUGGGCCAGGAUUUCAGCCUACUUUGUGUCAGGAACCUAUUUUUCUAAGCACACUGAAACCAUUAACUACAUUAUCAAUGUUAAGCAUCAUUUAAGGAAAUAACUAAUGCUUAUUAUGAAGUAUGAUGCUAUAUAUGAGCAUCCAAAUAACUAGAUUUGCUUAUUUCAUAACUGUCAACUGCCUGUUCCUUCUACACACUUUUGGACCAAAAUACACAUGGAAAUGCUUGAAAAAGCAUUGAAAAAGAGCUGUCAGAGAGCAUACCAACUUAGAGAUACUAUGAACCAUGUCAUGAAAGAAGAAAUAAAAUGUUCCUUCCUGAAGUCAAUCUGCUAGUCUUCAGUUAAGUUUAUUGUAAUGAUACUAGCACUUCUGAGAGCUUUCCCACCCACUAGAAAGAGCCAGACACAUGAGCAAUUAUAUUAUCAUAACUCUAAUACAUGUAGUGAUUGGAAUCAACUAUUUCAUUUACUCAUCUUCCCCCCCCCAAACCUGAAUAGGGUUUUCCCCCCCUCCAUUUUAAUCUCCAUUUUGCAAAUUGGUGUCUAUCUUCAGUGUAUCCAUGUAUGGUUAUGUAGGCUGAACACUGAACAACUGUACACCAUGGCCUUACAUAUUCCAUUUCCUCCCCACUCCACUCUUGCUCCAACUUAAGGAAUGUCCUCACCUACACUAGAAAAAAAUGUCCUCCAUUUUUCUGUUUGAAAGUUUUUUAAGGAAUCACCAUCUUAGGUCAGAACAAAUAUCUAGACAUUGUAACCUAAGGCUUUAUCAAGCAUUUCCUCAGAGACAGGCUCUACAUGGCAGUUUCAAGUACACAGUUUUAAAUAGUUUGUGCAAUAACUCUGUGGAAUAAAUAUCAUUAUCUCUGUUUUACAGAUAAAGAAACAUGGACUCUGGGGAUGUUAACAGCUCACUCCAUGACACACAGCUAUUAGCAGAGUUAGGGAUUAUGUUCUUUCAUCUCUAGUGCAGUUUUCAUUCUGGAAUUUGGGAGAGAGAUAAGAUUCAUUAAGAGAACAAGGCAAUGGGGAAGUUGGCUGGCCAGAAGUACUGAGGGGAUUGGGAUUAAGGUGGAGAGUAUGAGGUGCUUGGGAGAGAAAAGGGCCAUAGUAGGAAGACCAGUGACAGACCUUUCCUAUGAAUCUGUUUUUCCCUGAGCCAGACUCUGCAGCUCAGCUACUUUCCUAUUGAUCCCAGGUUCAUUUGGCAAUAAUCACAUUGGGAAUUCGCAAAAACAAGUCUGUUCAACUGUCAUCAUCCAUUGUGAGCAUCUAUAGGGAACAAAGAACUUCUGCUCUAUAUUGCUUGAAAGGAAAAAUAUCUGGAGUUUGCAGUUGAAGGUUUUAUAUUUGGCAGGAUUACCAACCACGUGCAAAACAUGGACAAGUCACUGAACCAUCUGGUCGUUGGUUCUAUCAACCAUUAAAUUAGGUGGUAAAAUGGAAACAUUAUUAAAAGAUUGUGAAUUGUCCACAUGUGGGGACAAUACAGAAAUGCUGAAGGGAGAAAAGUAUUAUACUGUCUUACGAAAAUUUGACCCUGAGUUUAAAAGUGAUUAAGAGAACUCAAAAUCUAGAUAAGAUGUAGUCUUGCCCCUCAAAGCCUGGAAGGACAUGAAGACCCUAAGCAACAUAACCCAGUUACUUUUUUUAAUGUCUAGGUGCACACACAGAAUCUAGAAGACGGUACACAAAUGCCUUUCAUUCUUCACAGGGGGUAGCCUAUCGCUUCACAUGGACUCUACCCCCGAUAGCCUCCAAGAGAUUAUUUUGUUUCUUGCCACCCUCUUUAUUUUUGUAACUCACAUUUCUCUGCAAGUUUGCAGACUCACAUGCCUGACACCAGCAUGUCCUGGUUUCCUGAUUUUUCCAUUCUUUAGAGUCAAUAACUACAUAAUAAAGAAUGCUUCUCUUGUUACUGUUGACUUAAGUUCCUGGUAAAAUAUCCAGGUCUAGUUAAGAUGUAAUAGAUGAG
rnacentral:lncRNA from 1 species